rnacentral:rRNA from 1 species
GCCUAUGGCCAUGCCACCCUGAACAAGCCCGAUCCCGUCUGAUCUCGGAAACUAAGCAGGGUUGGGCCUGGCUAGUACUUGGAUGGGAGACCCCCUAGGAAGACCAGGUGCUGUAGACG